rnacentral:rRNA from 1 species
AUUGAACGCUGGCGGCAGGCCUAACACAUGCAAGUCGAGCGGAUGAAGGGAGCUUGCUCCUGGAUUCAGCGGCGGACGGGCGAGUAAUGCCUAGGAAUAUGCCCGGUAGUGGGGGAUAACGUAAGGAAACGGGCGCUAAUACCGCAUACGAACUGAGGGAGAAAGUGGGGGAUCAUCGGAGAUAACGCUAUUAGAUGAGACUAGGUCGGAUUAGCUAGUUGGUGGGGUAAAGGCGUACCAAGGCGACGAUCCGUAACUGGCCUGAGAGGAUGAUCAGACACACUGGAACUGAGACACGGUCCAGACUCCUACGGGAGGCAGCAGUGGGGAAUAUUCGACAAUGGGCGAAAGCCUGAUCCAGCCAUGCCGCGUGUGUGAAGAAGGUCUUCGGAUUGUAAAGCACUUUAAGUUGGGAGGAACAGCAGUAUGUUAAUACCUUGCUGUUUUGACGUUACCAACAGAAUAAGCACCGGCUAACUUCGUG